rnacentral:rRNA from 1 species
UAGCGGCGGACGGGUGAGUAACACGUGGGUAACCUACCUAUAAGACUGGGAUAACUCCGGGAAACCGGGGCUAAUACCGGAUAAUAUUUUGAACCGCAUGGUUCAAUAGUGAAAGACGGUUUCGGCUGUCACUUAUAGAUGGACCCGCGCCGUAUUAGCUAGUUGGUAAGGUAACGGCUUACCAAGGCGACGAUACGUAGCCGACCUGAGAGGGUGAUCGGCCACACUGGAACUGAGACACGGUCCAGACUCCUACGGGAGGCAGCAGUAGGGAAUCUUCCGCAAUGGGCGAAAGCCUGACGGAGCAACGCCGCGUGAGUGAUGAAGGUCUUCGGAUCGUAAAACUCUGUUGUUAGGGAAGAACAAAUUUGUUAGUAACUGAACAAGUCUUGACGGUACCUAACCAGAAAGCCACGGCUAACUACGUGCCAGCAGCCGCGGUAAUACGUAGGUGGCAAGCGUUAUCCGGAAUUAUUGGGCGUAAAGCGCGCGUAGGCGGUU